rnacentral:tRNA from 1 species
UAGGAUGAGGUGUAUAGGUGGCACGGGGAAUUUUGGAUUCUCAAGUGUAGGUUCAAUUCCUAUUGUCCUAG